AGGGAUAAGAGAAGGUGAUGGGCAAAUUCAGACCAGUCCCACACAGCCCCAGGCACCUUCUGCUUCUACUCGGGCCUCUUGUCCAUGUGGCAGUUCUCCACUAUCACAGGUCAAAAAGGACACGCAUGCACUUGGAACAUUGGUGGAACCAAGAAAUGACAUUUCAGCCGUGCACCGGACAGCAUGAAGGAAGAGCCAAGAGGGAAGCUGCGGUAAGGAACCCCUGCACUGCAGAGCUUGGGGUGCAGGGGCUGUGAAUGGCCGAUGGGCCCAGCCUGGCCGAAUUUCAAAGCAACAGCAGUGUGUUGUGGCAGUGCCGGGGUGUGGCUGUCUGGGGAACUGAGAGCAGGUUGGUUUUGUUCCUGGUGCAUUUGUUGUAGCUCUCCCUGGGGCGAGUCCGCUGGCAGCCGAGGAAGUAGGGUGUCACCUGCUUAUCUGAUGAGCAAGUCCUCCAGUCGCCUGGGCCCUCACUGAGAAGGAGGUGGAGGCAGACUGGACUGAACACAUAGUGGCCCUCGGACAUUUCUUGGAAGUUGCUUUUUAAAAUAACCUCCGACAUAAGCUUGUUUUCAUUUGCCUCUUUACCCAAGAAGCCAAAUUCAAAAAUAGAUCUCAGUUAUUCUGGGUCCUCAUUAAUCAAGGUGAUGCUGUGAGGCUGGAAAAGGCAGGCUCUGUUAGCUGUUUCUACCCUUUAUUUACAGUUAUUUUAACAGCUUUCAAAGCCAUGGUUCUUUGCUAUAAAGAAAUAGGUUUCCUAGAUUAUGCUGCAGUGUUUAACUUCCAUGCCUGAUGGCCUGAGGUCCAUAAAUGUGCUGUUCUCUGGAAAUCUGGUGCCUCUACUUUGGAGUUGCCCCUACAGCCAUCAAGGCUCAGCUGCUCUGCCCCCCACUAGGAGAGCAGGCUGGGGAGAGCCGGAAGGCCCUGGGGCCUCCUCUCUGAGGGCCUCUCCCAGGCUCCAGGUGAGGUCUGAACCACCCCAGGAAGCCUUGGUUCUCCCAGUCUUCACAGGAUAAAAAUAUUCCUGAUGGGGACUCGCCCUCUUUAUACAAACAAAUCAGUGAAGCCCCAGCAACUCUGGGCUUUAAGUUGGCAUCUUCACCCAGGAGACCUGGCCACCCACCCAGGCCCUUGUCCGACCUCCAGGGAGCCCUGAGCCUGAAAGUGCUGCGGUGGCCAGCGCUCUUCCCGGUGACCUCAGAAACCAAGGGCGGGCCCGGGAGAGGGUGCCAUUUAGGAAUCAGCGUGUGGGCUUGCCCACCCCAUGCCUUCUUUUCGACUCUCCUUCCUGCCCAGACCUAUUCAGUGUGCUUUUCUAAGAAAGACCUAGAACACAGGUCUGGCUUCAGCACAAAAGAGGCCUGAACUACAGCGCCUCCACAUUUUAGCCUCGGGCAGAUUACCAAGUCUCUGUCUCCGCCUCCUCCACCAUAAAAUGGGGCUGCGAACAUCCGCCUUGCAGGGAUGUUUUGAGAAUCAAGCCUGGGGGAUGUUAGAAAUUCCCUGGCACUUAGAAGGGACUCGUUCAAAAGUGGAGUUUAUUUACAGGGAAGCUCUGCGUCCUUUCCCAGCCCAGCCCCGCCUGUUUGGCCCCUGCGGACCCCUCAUUUACCCGUGAGUGUCCCGGGAAUGCUGCAGCAUCUUCUUUGAACUUGGUAGUAUCUAAAUUUGGACUCGUAGCUUUAACAUUAGCUGCUUGGCUAAGCCAUGGUGUUUAUUUUUCCUUAAGCCCUUUCGGAGAUUUCUCUCAUCACAGAAAGGUCUGCCUCAGUGUCUCCUGGGAUGGCAUGAACAGCCCCACCUCCUCCUCCCUGACCCACGCUCUGGAAAUGAGACUGUUUCCUCCUGUCCCAUCCUAGGUGGGGGAGUUCAAAAUGAUUCCCCUCUCACCAUUAUGAUGGUGAGUUUGGGCUCCAGGGAGGAAGAGUGGGGUCCAUGAGACAGGAAGAGGAAUGCUAGGCUGCCGGAAGCGGGAUUUACUGCCUCAUCGCCAGGGCAAUGCUGUUCAUCCCUGGGUGUGUGUUUAAGCUACAUUAGAGGACCACAUGUAUUUCCCAUCCCCCUCCCGCAAUCUAACAGCCACACAGAUACUGUCAUGACCCCAGAGUAUUUUUAGCUCCGUUUGGGCCCCUCUGCCUGGGCCUGCUGAGCUGUGUGAGGGAGGUUCUCAGAAGGGCAUCUUCCGCAAGCGGGGGACCUGACCUUGUGAACCUCAGGGGCUUUGGACAGUAAGGAGAGAAGUGAAACUGACAUCUACCUUUCAAAAACAAAACCCAGGGUACCUGUUCCUCGAGAGCCAUUGUCUGUAGAUGUUUCGGUUCCGCUCGGCUCCGAUGCUCAUCUGGAUCACCUGAGCUUGAAUUUUGGCAGAUCUGAGAGCCAUGCCUUUGCAGGAGGAGGUGGCAUCCUUAUCUCUCUCCCUCAUCUCCUUCCCAAACUGCUCUUUGCUCCAUCACAGACAGAACCUGGAGCUAAUAUUUGCUCGAAGGCAUUUCUGAUCUCUAUUCCUGAAGACUCUAUUUUCAAACCAUUUCUGUUCUUCCACAGCUAUCUUAGAAAGUCAUCUCCAUCUGCAGCCUGUAGAGGCCAGCAGGCGAGUCCUAUUGUUUGUGGCUUGUCCUUUUCCACAUGAAGGUGCUUUAGGACAUAUCACAGGUGACGGCCAUGGGCACCAGUGGACGGUGCUGGAAUCUGGUACCCACCAUGGCACACACAUGACCGCCAAGCCCACCUUCAAUCUGAGACAGGCUGUUCUAGCUUCAUCACCUCUAUUUUACCUUGCAUCAUUUCAGCAGCAAACCCUUCGCAGAAGACUGGAGGGAACUGGAAAACAGGUAAGAUUAUGUGGCAGGUGUGAUGGCCAAACCAAGCAGUGGAAGCUGACUGGGACAGAUUUUUCGUAAGUGCUUUCCCAUCUCACAUACUUUUCCUUGGAUUCAGAGGUGGAAUCUGUCCCUUCCCCAGAACCAAGUGUUAAUGGCAGCAGUGAUGCACUAGGACUUGGCAAGGUCAGUCUGAAAGACUACCCACUUCCAGCUGACUGUCUGGGCACCCCCGCCUUUGGGAGCCAGCCAUCAUCCUCAUAUGCGAGGAGGCUCAAGCCACAUGGACACACCGAGGCCAGCUGAGCUCACAGGAGCAGACCCCUGCCGCCUCCACCCCCCAACUGCAUUACAGAGUCAUAAGCUGAAUAGAUUGUCAGAGUUUUAAGCUGUCAGGAUUUGGGUCUUUCGUCACACAGCACCCUUUCCCCUUCUGUGGGGUGUGCCCAGCUCCUCCUCACCUUCCCUUCCCCCAUCAGUGUUACCUCCCAGACCUUCAUGAUGCCUCCUGGAAGCUCUGCUGAACAGAACAGGGGACCCGGAACGACUUUAAAUUCAGUGUGUACUCAUCUCUGAGUUUUCCUGGGUGGAAUCCUGGCUGUGCCUGGUGUCAGAUUACAAGGAAGCUUCAGCUCUUCCGGGUAGGCCCCCCUUAAUUCUAUUUGUUUUUUGUACUGUUUUUCUUACCAGACCACCAAAACUGUGUAAGCUGCCUUCAAAAUGUAGGCACUGCCCCUGUUCUUGCCUCUUUCCACAUGGGAAACCAGCUUCUCCCUGCAGGCCAGCUAGGGCAUUUGAUAAUGGUGGCAGGAGGGAUUCAUCAAUCAAAUGUAGGUGCACGUAAAAGAGCAGUGAUGGGAAGUGUGAUUUGACAAACUGAAAGGAACACGGUCAUAUCCACAUCAGGGCUGGGUAUUUUAACAUAGACAGGUCUCCCCAGGUUCUGAAGGUAGAAUGUCCUGAUUCAGAGGUUGUGUUUUAGGUCUGGGAGCACUAUUAGCAUUCAUUUAUUGAAAAAAAAAUGUUUGAAUGUUCCCAAACCCAAAACAUAACCUACCAAAUCGGAACUUCCUAUUUUGGAAAACCUGAUAUCAGUUUUUCGCUCAGCAACUGCUGUAAAUACUCUUCUCACUCCUCUCUCUCUCUCUCUCUCUCUCUCUCUCUCUCUCUCUCCUCCUCCCGCCCCUCCCCCACCUUGACCUAGUUGCUAUUAACAUUGCAAGUCACCUUUGGCAGAAGUUGUCCCACGAAGGAAACCCUGCUGCAAUUUCCAGUAGGUAGCCUGGCAGCACCUUCAAACCUGCAACUUAGACACCCGCCUUUCCUGCGACAUUCAACUAAAGAAAUGGCAGGCCUCAGUGAGCUAGUUCCAGUGAUGACACUGGCAACUGGCAAGGUGAGAGAGGAUUUACACUGGGGAUCCGCAGGUACUGUGCUCAAGGCUGCUGGCAUUUGCCAGCUCACAGGCGAGGGCUUUACAUAGACAGCAGGAACCUGUUCUGCCCCAUCUGCAUGGCACCCCCUCCCCCACAACAGCCUGGAAGGCAAGGAGUACAGUACAUCACCUCCACUUGGGGCUGGAGUGUCCCCCUGCCCUCCUCAGGCCCUUCUGGUAUCACACUGAAUGACGCUCACUGGGGACAGGGGAGGGUGACCCCAUUAGAGUACCAUGGGUGGAAAAGAGGAACCACUCUCUGCUCAGAUCCAAAGAGGUCCAGGCCUCCUGAGCAGGACAGGAGUUGGGAGAGGUGCAGCUCCUGUCUGUGGGUGUGUAAAGGUGGUGACAUCAACGGAGUAACAGGUCAGGUCAGGUGAACCCCAGUCCUCACCUCCCUUCCCCCUGCCAGGGAAGUAGAGCUGCUUACUGCGCUUCCUUUGGCCCCAGGGAGCAGGCUUGGGGCUCAGAGCUAGCACGCCUUAACAAUCCCCUCACGGGGCCUCCUUAGUGCCCCUGCAGAUGAGACCUGGCGCAGGCCCCACUCCCACCAGGCGGGCUGGCUCCUCUCCGUACAAGUUCAGUCCAUGUACAAGAGCCGCGCAGGGAGGCAGCCCUCUAGUGGAAUGCCUGGACCUCUCGUGCAGAGGACCUCAAAGCGGGGUCACCAGACUGGCAGCAUCACCAGGAGCCUGUUAAAAUGCAAACUCUUCACCAGCCCCAGCGGUGCCAAAGGAGAAAUCCCUCCCAGUUAGUCCAGUUGAACCAGCAUCAUGACCAAAUGCACCACUCCAGUGCAGACUGCCCACCUCCAAGAGGAGAGAGGGUUCCCAGAGUCUAGACAAUCAGGUUCAUUUACAGCAUUUGGCUGAAAACUUUUGUUUUUAAAAUUAAGCCAAAGCUAUUUGGUUGGGAGGCCUUAUGCCUUUAUUGGAAUGAAAACUUUAAUUCAGUGUUUUCAUUCAACAGUGGGUUUCUUUGAACUCUGAACUCAGCGUUAAGUGUUUGAGUUUGCAGACAGACCUUCCCAUAGAAUAAGACUUUUCCCUGCAGGGGAGCAGGUACAAGAGUCCCAGGACCUCCUUUGUCCUGGGACCUGCUCCAGGCAGUGCCCGCUGCUCCCAGCAGAGGGCAGCAUUGCCACGCUGGUGCAAAGGGAGAGGCUGGGCUGGGUUAAGAAGUGCAUGACUUUCCAAAGGGAGUCUUGUUUAGUCUGGUUCUACCCCCUGAGGGGCCUGCACUUGCUCUGGGGUCAGUGAGCCACAUAACAUGAAAGUUGGGGCGGUGCACUGGGAGGUUACACAAGGGACAGCCACACUAUCAGUCUGCAGAGAUGCAGGGAUACCCCUUUACAGUGCAAGGCCUAACAUGAACAGAACAGUAAGCGCUCAGGCAGUGUCGCGGCUUAGGCAGCUGCACGCCAGCUCGAGCUAACUUAGAGCCUAAGUUGAGCUCAGGUCCUUUUGCUUAAGCUGGGCCCCCUCACUGCUUAGAGCCCAAGCACUUACAAACACACAUGACCGUCUCCCUCUGCUUCCCAGGAGCAGCAGGCGGGUCAGUGGCCACUGUGGCGCUCAAGGCCUGCAGCAGGGCUUCUCCAGAGUGCACUCACCUUGUACCUGUCUACGAGCCUGAAGCCCAGGAUGUGCUGCAGCUUCCGCAGGCAGAUGGGACAGAGGUCCAGGGGCCGCCCCAGGGCCUCAUCCAGGCUGAGUGCCCCCUGCAUGAGACAGCGGAGCCAGCGGCAGUUCCCCAGGCCAAGGAGGUGGCAGAGCUCAUGGCACACAACCUGAGAAAGGAAGGUCACCACCACCCUUGCAGCCAUGACCCGCCACCCAGCCCAUCCCUAGGAUUCCUGAGCAGCCCCGCCAGGAGCCUGAACACCCUGGCCAAGGCCUAUUCCUGGGAAGUGGUCCAAGCACCCCCUCCAGCCCCACCCCUGAAUGCACAAGGUGACAACUGACUUCUCUGUGGGGCAGAAUCUAGGCCCCGCUGGGCCACAAGAGAAAGGUGAGCGGGACCGUGGAUGUCAUAAACAGGUUCAAACCCUAGCCCUGUGGUUUCAUGGCUGUGUGACCUUGGGUAAAGGAUUUAACAUCUCUGAGCCUUGGCUUCCUCACUCUAAGUGAAGGGGCAUCCUCGUGUGCAAACUGGACAGUAACUGGGUGAGCACAGAGGGAUCAACUGCUGACCACUACAUCCUUCUGAUUCUACAUCCUUAGCUUCUCCCCAGGGCCCCCAACCUUCUACCCUCUUCCCAUCCCCACCUUCUCCCACCAUCUGGGCAGCACCCCCUGCGCCCUGGCCUCCAUGCCCACCUUGCAGCACUGGGCCAUCCCCAGGGCGUUGAAGCACAGGGUCCAGCCUCUGUCCUGCAGGGGAUUCUCAGGGCCGCUGGCUGCCACCUCUGUCGGGGCUGGAUCAGAGGCGCUGGGCCCCAUCUGCAGGAACUCCCCCACAAACCGGGCAAAGCUACAGAUGCCCACUUCUGGGGAGAGGCAGAGGGAAGAGGGCUCAGGGGGCAGCCCCUGCUUCAGGGAGCCCUAGGGCAGACCACCCCAUCCUCAGAACCCAAAGGAUCUGCCUGCCAGCGUGUCCACGGGAAGACAGCCCUGGGCAGAAGCUAGAGGAAUGCCCCUUGCCCAGAGAAGCUGGAAUAUGGGGCCUGGAGUUCAAGUGUGGCUGUUGAGUAGAGGAGUGGGGGCAUUCUCGGAGUAAGAGCAAGGAGGGUGCGUGUUCAGUCAUGCACAAUGCACCUGUGCUGAGUGCAGCCCUCCCCCCGCUCCACCCCUGCUGAGCGCCGACUGUGUGACGCGGGGCCUGGCUCACCGUGCCCCGGAAGGAACAUGCCGAAGGUGAAGCUCCAGGCCUCGCAAGGGUACAGGUCAGACAGCGUCAGGCCCAGCACACACAGGGCGUCGCCCGGCUUGCUGCUCUUCAGGAAAGACAGGAUGCCAUCUGAGGGGAGAGGGCCAGUGGUCAGAGUGAGGGCAAGAGGGCCCUUCUCCCAGGCCCUCGCAAAGUCCAACAGAGAAAGCUUUAGUCUGAGGCUGAGAACUCAAACCACCGAGCUGCAAAAUGUGGGGCCACAGGCCUGAGUCCCAGCGUCAGGCAGUAUGGAUCAUCCGGGCCAAAAAGUUCUCAGGAUGUCCAUUUCCUGAAUUGCCAAGAAAACUGACCUGAACAAGGCAGGGCCAAGGUGCCUGGCCAGGCCAGGGGAGUUCUGAAAAGACAGCUGGGCUGACAGGGCUGCAGGGAAGUGGCAGCCAGCACCAUCACGUCCUAGCCCAGGACCUGUGCGCCUGCGACUCGUUGAACUCUGCAAGGGGCAAGGGAGCUCCGGAUUAUCCAGUGGACCUGGGGUCUUCCCAAAGUCUUAGGCAGGAAGGCCAGAGAGAGCUGAAGAGGCUCUGCUGCCGACUGGAGGUGGAACAGGGGCCACGAGGCGAGGAAUUCGGGCUCCUCUGGAAGCUGGGUAUGGAAGGAACCAGUCCUGCAGACUCCAGGGAGACUUCUGACCCCAGAGACGCAAGAGGAGCAGAGAAGUUUCAGCCGCUAAGUGACCUUGCAGUGACUUGUUACAGCACAAAGGAAACCGUCUCCAGGAACCUGGCUGCAGGGCCAGGGAGGGAACCCAGGACAAGGCCUCAGGGAUUGAGGAGGGACCCCAAGAGAUGCAGGUGGGGCAGCCAGCGAGGUCCAAGACCAGGGAGGUCUGAGUGGCUGGAGGGAGAGGCAAGCUAAGGGAUUUUCCCAGGGGACAGCUAGAGAAAGGAGUAGCGGAGUGGAGGAGCUGGGGGCACACGGGGGCAGAGCCUUUGAGCGGGGAGCAGCCUGUGGCACAGGCAGGGCUGUGGGAAAGAGGGUUGGGAGCAGGAGAGCGGGUAUGGGGUAGGGCCUAGGGAGACCGGCAUCCCUAAACUGAGGCGCAGAGGUGCAGGCAGUGGGGAGCCGUGGAGGGAAGUGUGGAGCUUCCGCUUUGGUUGCCGGUAGAAAAGAAGAGGAGAAAGUAUUCAUGCUAGACGGGCGUCGAGUUUACCCAGGUGUGGACAGGAGGGGGAGGCGGGCGAGACCGCAGUAAAGCAGUGUGACAGCAAGGCCGGGGAGCUGGGCGGGCAGCGGGACCAAAGACCCCGAGGGCAGAGCAGGAAACAGGUGGUAUCUAGGGGGAGGUCUGAAAGCCGCUGUGGCGCGCAGGUGGUGAGGACCGGACCGCCCGAGAGCCUGCAGACAGAACGGGGCCCCGCCCACACCUCCCUCUCGGACCUGUGACCUCCAGGGCUGAAAAAAAUUAAUUUCUGCUUUUUAAGCCCCUCAAGUCUGUGGUACUUUGUUACGACAGCCCAGGAAACCAGUUCAGUAAUCUACACAAGCUCCUCCGACCACAAGAAUUGAACCCCACAUUUGCUGUGGGUUCUACCAGCCUCUAAGAACCUCCCUGAGGCUACCUAGUCCCAGCAUCCCAUGCGCCCCGCGGUGUGGGGCCAAGAGCAGAGCAGGCGCACUAAGCAGAAGAGGAGGUGGAGGAGUGACACAUGUACUCCAGGCACCGCCAAGCUGGGGUCUCCAAGCCACACUCCAGUCCCCAGGCAGCUGGCAUGGACACAAACUCCUCCCAAGUCAGGUGGACAGCACCGCAGGGACACGGGGGAGCAGAGGCAGGUGGAGGGGCUGGGCCCUGGCUCCCCGGGUCCACUCCGGACCCUGGAGAUGGGUGAAGGCUGUGCGCACAGCAGGAUGGUUCUCAGAAUGACCAUGCCUGAAGUCUGGCACCUUCCCUGCCAGUGAGUCCCUGUCAAACCUGAAAAUUCAACACCAGCUGCUCCCUGUACCCUAAAUUCCCUAAACACCAGAAAAUUUAGACCCACCCUGCUGGCCUGUAAGGUCAAGGGACGCUUGUUUAAUCCUUUUACAAAACAAGGAAAUAAAUGUUUUCCACAAA